rnacentral:rRNA from 1 species
UACGUAGGGUGCGAGCGUUGUCCGGAAUUACUGGGCGUAAAGAGCUCGUAGGUGGUUUGUCGCGUUGUCCGUGAAAUUCCCUGGCUUAACUGGGGGCGUGCGGGCGAUACGGGCAGACUGGAGUACUGCAGGGGAGACUGGAAUUCCUGGUGUAGCGGUGGAAUGCGCAGAUAUCAGGAGGGAACACCGGUGGCGAAAGGCGGGGU